rnacentral:sRNA from 1 species
GUUGAUGGCCGGAGGCUCCCUGCCCCGGCACGUGUUGGCUAUGAAACUAA